rnacentral:rRNA from 1 species
ACUGGGACUGAGACACUGCCCAGACUCCUACGGGAGGCUGCAGUCGAGAAUAUUCCUCAAUGGCCGAAAGGCUGAAGGAGCGACGCCGCGUGCAGGAAGAAGGCCUUCGGGUUGUGAACUGCUUUUUCCAGGGACGAACACUGACGGUACCUGGAGAAUAAGAGGUUGCUAACUCUGUGCCAGCAGCAGCGGUAAUGCAGAGACCUCAAGCGUUAUCCGGAUUUAUUGGGCGUAAAGCGUCCGCAGACGGUUCGGUGCGUCAGACGUCAAAUGUUGGAGCUUAACUCCGACACUGCGUUUGAUACGGCCGAGCUCGAGGUUGGGAGAGGUAAGCGGAAUUGCCGGUGUAGUAGUAAAAUGCGUUAAUAUCGGCAAGAACACCAAUUGCGAAGGCAGCUUACUAGAACAUACCUGACGUUCAUGGACGAAAGCGUGGGGAGCGAAAGGGAUUAGAUACCCCUGUAGUCCACGCCCUAAACGAUGGAUGCUAGACAUUGGAAGUAUCGACCCUUUCAGUGUCGGUCACCUAAGGUAACCCCUUAAGCAUCCCGCCUGGGGAGUACGGCCGCAAGGCUAAAACUCAAAGGAAUUGACGGGAACCCGCACAAGCGGUGGAGCAUGUGGUUUAAUUCGACGAUAAGCGAGGAACCUUACCAAGGCUUGACAUGUCUGGAAUCCAGCUGAAAGGCUGGAGUGCCGCAAGGAGCCAGAACACAGGUGCUGCAUGGCUGUCGUCAGCUCGUGUCGUGAGACGUCGGGUUAAGUCCUUUAACGAGCGCAACCCCUGUCUCGUGUUACAUUGUUCACGAGAGACUGCCUGGGUAACCAGGAGGAAGGUGGGGAUGACGUCAAGUCAGCAUGGCCCUUACGCCUUGGGCUACACACGUGCUACAAUGGAGCCAACAGAGGGACGCCAAGUCGCGAGACGGAGCAAAUCCCUUAAAUAGCCCCCCAGUUCGGAUUGGAGUCUGCAACUCGACUCCAUGAAGUCGGAAUCGCUAGUAACCGUGGAUCAGCCUCGCCACGGUGAAUACGUUCUCGGGUUUUGUACACACCGCCCGUCACGUCAAGAGAGUUGGCGAUACCCGAAUUCCCAGCCCGGGAAGAAGGUAGCGCCGAUGAUAGGGACGAAGUCGUAACAAGGCAUCCGUAGCGGAAGCUGUGGAUG